rnacentral:rRNA from 1 species
CGUGUAGGCGGUCAGGUAAGUGGAAUGUGAAAUGCCCCGGCUCACCCGGGGACCGGCAUCCCAAACUGCCUGGCUUGAGUAUGGGGAGAGGAUGGAGGAAUUCCUGGUGUAGCGGUGAAAUGCGUAGAUAUCAGGAGGAACACCGGUGGCGAAGGCGUCCAUCUGGCCCAAUACUGACGCUGAGGCGCGAAAGCUAGGGGAGCAAACG